UUUAAUUGAAGAGUUUGAUCAUGGCUCAGAUUGAACGCUGGCGGCAGGCUUAACACAUGCAAGUCGAGCGGUAGCACAAGGGAGCUUGCUCCCUGGGUGACGAGCGGCGGACGGGUGAGUAAUGUCUGGGAAACUGCCUGAUGGAGGGGGAUAACUACUGGAAACGGUAGCUAAUACCGCAUAACGUCGCAAGACCAAAGAGGGGGACCUUCGGGCCUCUUGCCAUCAGAUGUGCCCAGAUGGGAUUAGCUAGUAGGUGGGGUAAUGGCUCACCU
rnacentral:rRNA from 1 species